rnacentral:rRNA from 1 species
GUCCACGCCGUAAACGAUGGGUGCUAGGUGUGGGAGGUGUCGACUCCUCCCGUGCCGCAGCUAACGCAUUAAGCACCCCGCCUGGGGAGUACGGCCGCAAGGCUAAAACUCAAAGGAAUUGACGGGGGCCCGCACAAGCAGCGGAGCAUGUUGUUUAAUUCGAUGCGACGCGAAGAACCUUACCAGGGCUUGACAUGCACCGGAAAUCCGUAGAAAUACGGCCCUCCUUCGGGACCGGUGCACAGGUGGUGCAUGGCUGUCGU